CGGAGCGUAGGCCAGUGGCUAAGCCGCCAGCUUUGGGAGCUGGUUAUCGUGGGUUCGACUCCCACCGCUCCGA
rnacentral:tRNA from 1 species